UUCUUGUAGGUUCUGGUAUUUUUCAUGGUUGUUCUGUAAAUAGCUGUAAUUUUGGUGUGCCCAUGAGAGAAGGUGAGCUCAGGGUCUUUCUACUCUGCCAUCUUGGCCCAUCUCAACCCCACCGGUUUUAACAUCUUGGAAGGUAUGGAACACUCGCACCCAGCACUGCUAGGCAUUUUUGCCUCAAAACCUGAACGUUGGUACAAGACACUUCUCAAGGCAACAAGGUUGGCUUCGGCGCAAACCUUUUCUUAUCCCAAUUCAAAAGCAUCUUCUUCCUGGCCUUGGAAUUCAACAUACAGAUUUGCUUUUUGGGGCUAUGCCAUUACCGGCUGCAUCUGCUGCUUUUAAAAGUUCUGGGAAAAGUAUCAUGCUAGGUGGCAUAUUCUAUCACCAAAAAGUGAAUCAAUUUAGCAGACUGCUUUCCAGAACUAUACUAGCACAUGAAGGGUGAAGAGGAAUUUCCACUUCUAGGUGUAAUUUAUUUCACUUUUAAUUUCUAAAGACCCUAAGAAUUAAGCUAAGACUAACUUUGGCGUAUUAAAACUAAGAGAAAUCUUUGGAUCAUCUAAUCCAAACCUUUUUAAACAAAGGCCCAGGAUAAAGUAAUUCAUUGGCAACCACACAGCUAAUUAAUCCACUUGGCAAAUUGUCAUCUUGCCCCAUAAAAUCUAUUCUGAUCUUUUCUAACUGGCUUCAUGGGGAAAAAUGUAACUUUUUAAGGCUUCUCAGGAAGAGGCUAAUUUAUAUUUUAAACCAUUUUAAAAGUGAGAAAAUGAGGAAAUUUUCAUGUAAUUUAGCAAUUUGCUACAUUGCUCCUUCUUUAUGGGAAAUUGGCACUCUGAGUAUAAAGAGAGGAGAAAAUAUCUGUCCUGUUUUCCCUAUAACCUUGUCUGGAGCUAAACAUCCCCUCAAGGUCAAACUAUCUCCCUCCAUGAACAAAUGCAUUCAUGCUUUGGGGAUCCAAAGAGAAAACAGGUCCUUUCUUUUGAGAAGCCCAUAGUCUAGACAGAGACCAGGUGCGUUCGUAAACAAUAUUAUAAUUCGUAUGGUAGGUAUGAAAGAUCUCACCCAGAGCAGGGGGUACAUUUGUUGCAACUAUCACUCAAGGUUUCAGUGUUACAUUCAAUCUGGGCUGUCAAAGGCUCCCAAGGGCAGUAGAGGGGAGAUGAUAUUUGGAGCAGAUAGCAAGUGCAAAGGCAUAGAGAGAGAGGACAAACCUCUGUAUGUUUAGGGAACAAAUAAUUAGAUGUGACAGACACUUAGGAUGCUUGGGAGAACAUGGCAAGAGAUGAAUUGGGAGGAAAACAUGACUUUAUGAAAAAUUCAAAGGGGUCUGUACGUUUUCUUGUUAGCAAGAGGAAACUCUCAAAGAUUUGUUUUGUUUUUUAAAGAAGGGAGUGACAUGGUCUGUUUUAAAAUAAUAACAGCCUGUGAGUCUUUAAUUCUUAUACAACCUAUUUAAGUCCUUACAGCCCUGCGAUGAAGGCUCUAUAAUUAGGUACUCCCAUCCAACAAAUGAAAAGCAGAAGGAAGCUCAGUAACCAGCUUAAAGUCGCAGCUCAUAAGGAUCAAACCUGAGCAGUUUGGCUCAAAAGGCUCACUCAUCAUGAUGCUACUAGUCAGAUGGGCUGUGGGAGAAGUAGAGGGAAAGAUAUAAAUUAACGUCUGCUUCGGGUCUAAGCCAGUGUUUCCCAAACUUACCAUUCACUUCCUACCUUUACACAACUUUUACCAUCUGAGAACCACUUUUAAUGUGUUUUUAAACCAACUCAUCUCUUUAAACUUAAAUUUUACAGGAAAACCUGAGGAUAACAACAGGAUACCCUAACAGGUAGUCCCUAAGCCUGGAUCCUGAACACAGCUUCCCACACAUGAGACGAACCUGUCACCCAUCUACCACCAGAAAUCAGCUCUAAAUCUCCAGUGCCUUAGAGAAGCAAGCAGCCAGGCUGUGAGCUGUCUAUGGAGAGGACCAAGUAACAGGGAAUGGCAGGCAGCCUCUAGUCGCUGAGGGUGGCCAACGGCCGCAGCCGGCAAGAAUCUAAAGCCCUCAAACCUAAAGUUACAAGGAAAGAAAUUAUGCCAACAACCUGAAAACAGUGUGGAAGCAGAAUCUACCCCCAGUCCAGCCUCCAGAUGAGACCACAGCCCAAGCCAACACCUGGAUCAUAGAUUUGUGAGACCAAGGGCACAGGACCCAUCUACGCUGUGCUCAGACUCUUGGUCCACAGAAACUGUGGGAUAAAUAAUACAUGUGUGCUGUUUCAAGCUGCUAAAUGUACAGUAAUUUAUUAUACAACAUAGAAAACAAACAAAUCUUAAUAUAAAAAAGUAAAAAAAAGUAAAAAAAAGUGAAAGGAAUGUUGAAUUAUUGGCCAUUUGGGAUAUUUAUUAAUGAAGAUCAAGCAUCGAAAGAUCGGUCCUCAAUGCUCAUUUCCAUGAUUUUAAGAGUUGGUCCUUCCAUGUCCUGAUUACCAUCGUUGACACUGCAUAACUGAACAGACGGGGAGAGUGCUGUGCUAAAACAACACAAUUCAUUUGAAGUCUCGACUUUUUCAUUGUCUUUGUCUCCUUCAAUGACAUUCACAGAAGUUUCUUGGUCUAGUAAACUGUCUGACAUACUUACAUUUUUUUCAUCCCAAACUGAAGUUCCAAGAUUCAUUUCAUCAUUUACCUGUUGAAUUAUAACCCCUUCUGAAUCCUGUGAUUUAUAGACAGGCAGGAAAAAUUCAUUUGGUGAAGAGACUAUCUUGUUCUCAUCCUUUGGAACAGACAAUAACAUAGUCAAAGCUUUUUGGUAUUCUUGACGUUCCUGUUGAAUGGCUAAAUCUUGUUCAUUUUUAUAUUCAUUUUGUUCUGAAUUCUCAGCCUUUUCAAAAUCAAGUAAAUGCAACAUACCAACAUCAUCUAGCAUUACUGAGUUUUCCUUGGAAAUGCAGCCUAAGUCCACCUUUAGGAUAUGUAGCAGGUGGCGCAUUUUUUCCUGGAGUUAAAAAAAAAAUACAAGAAUAAUAAUAUUAAUUAAGCUAGUCAAAUUGAAUUACUUUUGUCUGCAGUGCUGCUAACCUCAGCAGGAUUCAUACUUCUUCUUCCACAUUCUGCCCACACCCCUCACCCCCAGAGUACACAUAAAAGCACAAGGGAAAAAAAGUGCUUGCUCUUAAUGCAUUGAUUGAGAGUAUGGUAAAACUUUAAAAUUCUUUCUAUAUUAGAAAUUUUCUAAUGAAGUUCUAAAGACAACAAACCUCCUCCAAAUGAUGUUUAUUUUGUUUUAUAUGUCUCUCAAACAGUCGUUCUAGAAACCUACAAAUGAUAAAUAAAAAUGUUAAUGUCUCAAAAUCAGAAAAUCAACUAAAUAUAAAAUAGCCAUACAAUAAACUACUAAAGGUUGGAAAAUAUGUUUUAGAUUACCCUUUUUCUUUCCAGAGAUAAACACUAAUCCUUCCCUGUUCUGUCAAGUUCUCCAAUUUGGAAGCUAGUAUGGCUUCCACUAUGUUUUAGUUAUGUAACAGAUGCCAAUGUUUCUUCUAAAAAGACUGCAUGCUACUUACAUUUCUGUUAAUAAAAUAUCUUCAGUGACGUUCCACCCCCCACACACAAAAAGUUCUUUAUCUUUUUUCUCUCACACACAUACACAAACAUCAAAAGCCUUCCCCCCUCUUUCUCUUUCACAUAUACAACCCCCCAAAAGCAAACCCCUAAAGAAAAUUCUUUACAAAGAAUUUUGUAAAGCGUUACCUUACAAUGCUUCCAAAUUGUACUUGAAAAAAAUUCCACUCAUAGUAAAUUCACAUAAAAACCUAAAGUUAUCACUUAUUAAGCACCACUAAGUGUUAGACAUUUGUGCUGGACAAAUAAUAAUCAUUAUACGUCUCUGAUCAUGACCAAUACUGGGAGACAAAGGUAUUAUAAAACCCAUUUUAAAAGAUGAGAAAACGACAUAGUCUAAGAUGAUGGUUUACUCUCCCCUAAGGUCACAAGCAAUUAAGAGAAUGAAACCCAGAUAUGUCUGGCUCCAGACACAUUCUUUCAACUACACCAUGCUUGUCUAGCUAUCACAGGAGUACAUCAACCGGUUUCAUUUUACCAUUUGUUACUCUCAGUGAAGUUAUAAGCCAAUCUUAGAUUUAGUUUUUCUGAAUUAUUUGAAAUGUUUAAAAAGUCCAAGAAAUCUGUAUUCUGUAUUUUAAAACUAUCAAUAAUGUUUGGACCAUUCACUUCUGGGCACUGUUCUAUGCAUAUAUAUUUCUUUACCAAAAUUGGGAUUACACAAUACAUACUGUUUUGAUAUCUAUAUUGCUUUUCUAAUCAACUAUAUAUUUUGAACAUCUUUAUGCAUCAAUAAAUUCACUUCUACAACAUCAUUUAAAAUUUCUGAACAGAACUUACUAUUAUAUUCUACAAUUUAUUCAGCUGAACCUUUACUAUUCAACAUGUAGGUUGAUUACAUUUUUUGGUGCUACUAUAAAAAUUGCCAUAAUAAACAGCCUUAUAAUCUAAAAGAAAAAUGUGAGUUUUUUAAGCAUAAAUACACAUUUUUCAUGCCAACCAUUUUUGUUUUGGCUUCUAACCUUUGCUUUAUUGUUUUUAUUUACAGUUGGUAUCAAUGUUUUUGCUGUGGUAGUGGUAAAAAGAACACAUAAAAUUUACCAUCUUAACCAACUUUUUUUUUUUU